rnacentral:rRNA from 1 species
UAGAGGAAGUAAAAGUCGUAACAAGGUCUCCGUAGGUGAACCUGCGGAGGGAUCAUUACACAAAUAUGAAGGCGGGCUGGAACCUCUCGGGGGUUACAGCCUUGCUGAAUUAUUCACCCUUGUCUUUUGCGUACUUCUUGUUUCCUUGGUGGGUUCGCCCACCACUAGGACAAACAUAAACCUUUUGUAAUUGCAAUCAGCGUCAGUAACAAAUUAAUAAUUACAACUUUCAACAACGGAUCUCUUGGUUCUGGCAUCGAUGAAGAACGCAGCGAAAUGCGAUAAGUAGUGUGAAUUGCAGAAUUCAGUGAAUCAUCGAAUCUUUGAACGCACAUUGCGCCCUUUGGUAUUCCAAAGGGCAUGCCUGUUCGAGCGUCAUUUGUACCCUCAAGCUUUGCUUGGUGUUGGGCGUCUUGUCUCUAGCUUUGCUGGAGACUCGCCUUAAAGUAAUUGGCAGCCGGCCUACUGGUUUCGGAGCGCAGCACAAGUCGCACUCUCUAUCAGCAAAGGUCUAGCAUCCAUUAAGCCUUUUUUUCAACUUUUGACCUCGGAUCAGGUAGGGAUACCCGCUGAACUUAAGCAUAUCAAUAAAGCGGAGGA